rnacentral:rRNA from 1 species
UACGAAGGGGGGCUAGCGUUGCUCGGAUUGACUGGGCGUAAAGGGCGCGUAGGCGGUUCGUACAGUCAGACGUGAAAUUCCUGGGCUCAACCUGGGGGCUGCGUUUGAUACGUGCGGACUUGAGUGCGGAAGAGGGUCGUGGAAUUCCCGGUGUAGUGGUGAAAUGCGUAGAUAGUCGGGAGGAACACCAGUGGCGAAGGCGGCUUUCUGGCCUGUUCUUGACGCUGAGGCGGCGAAAGCUAGGGUAGCAAACGGG